rnacentral:rRNA from 1 species
ACUGAAAAUCUAACCCAAACAAGCAAGCGCAGCCCACACUACUUACCUAAAACUAAACCAUUCUUUAAAUUUAGUACAGGCGAUCAAAAAAUUUUUAGGAGUUAUACACAUAGUACCGCAAGGGAAAGAUGAAAUAAAAUGAAAACCCUUAAGUAAAAUAAAGUAGAGACUUCCCCUCGUACCUUUUGCAUUAUGAUUUAACUAGUUUACUCAAGCAAAAAGACUUUUAGUUAGCCCCCCCGAAACUAAGCGAGCCACUCCGAGGCAGCUUUAUGAGCCCACCCAUCUCUGUAGCAAAAGAGUGGGGAGACCUCCCAGUAGAGGUGAUAUACCUAG